CUUGGUGACGGGUUACAGAACUGCACGGACCUUUGCUAUCUCUUGUUAUGUCGGUUCUUGGGCUCCUAGAAGAUAACGCAAUCGAAGCAGAGAAUUCUGGAGAAACUUCUUCAACAGAGAAGAUUUUCUUCUGAGAAGUGUCUUGUGAUGCACCUGUCAAGAGAUUGCAGCAGAAAUUGGCCUUAUUAUAAAGAGGAGAUGAGUCUCUCUGCGUAUGAGGAAUAAAGC
rnacentral:lncRNA from 1 species